rnacentral:rRNA from 1 species
CUGCAGCCCGAGUGGUGAUCGAUUUUAUUGAGCCUAAAGCGUCCGUAGCCGGACUAGUAAACCCUUGGGUAAAUUGGGCAGCUUAACUGUCCAAAUUCCGAGGGGACUGCUAGUCUUGGGACCGGGAGAGGUCAGAGGUACUCAAGGGGUAGGGGCUAAAUCCUGUAAUCCUUUGGGGACCACCAGUGGCGAAGGCGUCUGACUAGAACGGAUCCGACGGUAAGGGACGAAACCCUGGGGCGCGAACCGGAUUAGAGACCCCAGUAGUCC